AGCAAUGAGCCUCAGCGCCUAUCCCACUGCCAUUUUCUCUUUGGGCCCAAUCCGGGAUAUACACUCGUGCUGAGCAUGAAUCAGAAUAGCUUGGGUCUACUCAACGCCCUAGCCCACCAAAAUAUUUUUCACACCUUUACUUCAACCUUCAUACCCCUUGUUUUUCUUAUCUUUUUUUUCAUUCUUUUUUUUAAUAUCUUAUUU
rnacentral:lncRNA from 1 species